UAUAAGACCGUGUGUUUACUGCAGCUCAGCGGUUACGCCAAUGUAUCCUGUCACGUUGACAUGAUCCUAUAGUUCUACAUGACUUCUGUCUUUAACCGGACAAUAUGAGGAUUUAUUCGGUCUGCAUGUUGUGUUCACUAAUUAUAUCAUCAACAGCAAGUGACACAGGCGGUAGAGGAGACCUCCAGCUACAGCUACAGCUUCAACAAGAACUGCUCCAAGAACUGCUACAAGAACUGUCAGCCAGCAGGAAUGACAAGUCCUAGGAAACAUUUGAUCUGAAACACAGGAUGUAGAAUUAUUACAAUACCUAAUGCUUAUUACACAUGAAAUGACUUUUAAAACAGGACUUUUUUUUUUACAGAUAGUGCCUUCAUUCAAAUAUCCAAAACAGACUCACCUGGAACAUGAACCUGUCUCUCCUUCAUGUGUUUGAUCUCCAACUGUUGAACGCGACAAGUGAAGGUGUUGUUGUCAGAGUUCGGGACGAUGACAUGGCUUGUCACAGUGUAGCAGCCUUCACGGUCUCUGGACGUCUCUGUAGGUCCAGCAGCAGGGAGGACACGUCCCUGAGCGUCAAACCACUCCAUGACAGGCUCUGGGUAGCAGCCUUCAGCCUCACAGCGCAGGACCACCUCAUCGCCUUCCAUUCUCUCAAUGAUGAUAACUGGUCUGGACACAGCACCUAUACAGAUAUACCACGGCUUUCAGCCAGUCAGCAUUCAGGGCUAAAACCACCUAGUUUAUAAUGUUUGUGAUAUCAGACCAUAUACAGCAGCUUUCAGCCAGUCAGCAUUCAGGGCUAAAACCACCUAGUUUAUAAUGUUUGUGAUAUCAGACCGUAUACCACGGCUUUCAGCCAAUCAGCAUUCAGGGCUCAAACCACCUAGUUUAUAAUGUUUGUGAUAUCAGACCGUAUACCACAGUUACAUGGACUUGGGUUAAGCUAAGUAUGUAGUCUAACCAAUCUACAGUAUGUAACUAAUACUCAUCAUGCAAUGGACUUGACAUUGAACUCACCCUUGAUUUCAUGAGAUCUGUCUCUUAAGGGGGUUUGGGUGGUCAGCAGGUGUGUUGACUCACCAACAAGGAGUUGAAUGAUGGUUUUCUGGUGGUCCAGCAGUGGAAUGUAACAGGUGUAGUUUCCAGCAUCAGAGAGUUUCACUCUGGUCAACUUUAAACUAGUGUUGCCGUUCUCUAGUUCCUCUUUGAACAGUGACGUCCUUCCCCUGAAGACUGGAUUCUGGAGCACCAGAUCGUCCUUCUCAUCUCUGUAAAGAUGGACCUCUUUUGGGUUUAGGUCCGGUCUCUGCCACUCUACUGACUGAUGCACAGCGCUGACGGUGUGUCUCAGGGUGCAGGGCAGGAUGACGUCAUCACCAACUAAGGCCACAAUGGGUUGAACUGUCCGUGAGAAAAACAGAUUACAGAUUCAUAUACUUUGAGACAAAGCAAGACAUAUGCCUACUGAAUGUUGAGCAGGUGGAUAGUGACUCCCACAACAGCUAAGGUCAUUUGAACCAUGAAAUGGUCUAUGAACAUUGACUAACAUCAAUCCUACAAAUGUGAACUUUACUCUCAUACACAAUUCAAUAAAGCGUCUCACUAAAUAGUAGGGAUCAGUUAGAACAAUCGGUU